rnacentral:rRNA from 1 species
AUUGAACGCUGGCGGCAGGCCUAACACAUGCAAGUCGAGCGGAGCGGCGGACGGGCGAGUAAGGAAUAGGAAUAUGCCUGGUGGCGGGGGAUGGCGUCAGGAAACGGGAGCUAAGCCCGCAUACUAACAGAUGAGCCUAGGUCGGAUUAUCUAGUUGGUGGGGUAAAGGCGUACAAGGGAGACGACCCGGAACUGGUCUGAGAGGAUGAGCAGUCACACUGGAACUGAGACACGGUCCAGACUCCUACGGGAGGCAGCAGUGGUGAAUAUUGCACAAUGGGCGAAAGCCUGAUCCAGCAAUGCCGCGUGUGUGAAGAAGGUCUUCGGAUUGUAAAGCACUGUAAGUUGGGAGUCGUUACCAACAGAAUAAGCACCGGCUAACUACGUGCCAGCAGCCGCGGUAAUAC